rnacentral:rRNA from 1 species
AUUGAACGCUGGCGGCAGGCCUAACACAUGCAAGUCGGACGGUAGCACAGAGGAGCUUGCUCCUCGGGUGACGAGUGGCGGACGGGUGAGUAAUGUCUGGGGAUCUGCCCGAUAGAGGGGGAUAACCACUGGAAACGGUGGCUAAUACCGCAUAACGUCGCAAGACCAAAGAGGGGGACCUUCGGGCCGCUCACUAUCGGAUGAACCCAGAUGGGAUUAGCUAGUAGGUGGGGUAAUGGCUCACCUAGGCGACGAUCCCUAGCUGGUCUGAGAGGAUGACCAGCCACACUGGAACUGAGACACGGUCCAGACUCCUACGGGAGGCAGCAGUGGGGAAUAUUGCACAAUGGGCGCAAGCCUGGUGCAGCCAUGCCGCGUGCAUGAAGAAGGCCUUCGGGUUGUAAAGUACUUUCAGCGGGGAGGAAGGCGAUGUGGUUAAUAACCGCAUCGAUUGACGUUACCCGCAGAAGAAGCACCGGCUAACUCCGUGCCAGCCGCCGCCGUAA